rnacentral:rRNA from 1 species
GAUGAACGCUGGCGGCGUGCCUAACACAUGCAAGUCGAGCGAUUCUCUUCGGAGAAGAGCGGCGGACGGGUGAGUAACGCGUGGGUAACCUGCCCUGUACACACGGAUAACAUACCGAAAGGUAUGCUAAUACGAGAUAAUAUACUUUUAUCGCAUGGUAGAAGUAUCAAAGCUCCGGCGGUACAGGAUGGACCCGCGUCUGAUUAGCUAGUUGGUAAGGUAACGGCUUACCAAGGCGACGAUCAGCAGCCGACCUGAGAGGGUGAUCGGCCACAUUGGAACUGAGACACGGUCCAAACUCCUACGGGAGGCAGCAGUGGGGAAUAUUGCACAAUGGGCGAAAGCCUGAUGCAGCAACGCCGCGUGAGCGAUGAAGGCCUUCGGGUCGUAAAGCUCUCUCCUCAAGGAAGAUAAUGACGGUACUUGAGGAGGAGGCCCCGGCUAACUACGUGCCAGCCGCCGCAGUAA